rnacentral:rRNA from 1 species
GGACUCGUUCUCAAAUCAGGUGAGACUACCCGCUGAACUUAAGCAUAUCACUAAGCGGAGGAAAAGAAACUAACGAGGAUUCCCCUAGUAACGGCGAGUGAACCGGGAAGAGCUCAAGCCGAAAAUCUUUGCUGGCUUCCAUCAAAGAAUUGUAGUCUAUAGGUGGGUACUUGUGCAGCCCGGGUAUAAGUCCUGUCUUGGAACUGGGUGCCAGAGAGGGUUAGAGCCCCGUCUUUGACUCGGUUGAGCUGUGCGUGAAAGUGCCUUGCCGGAGAGUCGGUUUGCUUGGGAAUGCAGGCCAAAGAGGGUGGUAAACUUCAUCUAAAGCUAAAUACUGGCGAGAGACCGAUAGCGAACAAGUACUGUGAAGGAAAGAUGGAAAGAACUUUGAAAAGAGAGUGAAAAAGGGCUUGAAAUUGUUAAGAGGACAAGUGAUUGGAGCAUAUCAUACAUGGCGGGAUCCUGGAGACGGGGCAAGCGCCCUGAAUUUUACCAUCCCGGCACGUUGGUCAGCAUCGAUUCUGUGUGGGGGAGAAAGCGGAGCCGUUGGGAGUACCUCGGUACAAUCUCGGCAGCCAUUUGCAGAAACCCUGGACGGGAUCGAGGCAGUGAAGCCCACGCUUGGCGGCCGGCCCCUUGCUCGGGCGGCGUGUGGAUUGCGCACCCUUUUAGGCGUGCGUGUGUGCACGCUGCGUGAAGCCGGGGAGCGCUGGACCUGUGGGCUGAAGAUGCUGGCACAAAUGGCUUCCAUCAGCCCGUCUUGAAACACGGACCAAGGAGUCUAACACGUAUGCGAGUAGUAAGGUGGCAAACCUUGGAUGCGCAAUGAAAGUAAACGUAGGUGGGAUCCGCAAGGUGCACCAUCGACCGACCAGGAGCCAGCCAGCAAUGGCUGCAAAAGGUUUGAGUAAGAGCAUAUUUGUUGGGACCCGAAAGAUGGUGAACUAUGCCUGAAUAGGGUGAAGCCAGAGGAAACUCUGGUGGAGGCUCGUAGCGGUACUGACGUGCAAAUCGUUCGUCAAAUUUGGGUAUAGGGGCGAAAGACUAAUCGAACCAUCUAGUAGCUGGUUCCCUCCGAAGUUUCCCUCAGGAUAGCUGGAGCUCACACAAGUUUUAUCAGGUAAA